rnacentral:misc_RNA from 1 species
AAGUCGUAACAAGGUUUCCGUAGGUGAACCUGCGGAAGGAUCAUUAUUGAAUAAACCUGAUGUGGUUGUAGCUGGCCCUUUCGAGGGUAUGUGCACACCCGUCAUCUUUAUCUUUCCACCUGUGCACCUUCUGUAGACCUGGAUGUAACACUUUCCGAGGCAACUCGGUCGGGAGGAAUGCUGUCAGCUUUCCUUGAAUGUCCAGGCCUAUGUUUUUCACAUACCCCCAAAGAACGUAACAGAAUGUAUUAUUGGGCCUUGUGCCUAUAAACUAUAUACAA